rnacentral:lncRNA from 1 species
ACGGUAAAGGUAAUCAUAAUCAGGAUCCAUAUAAUGGUAACGGUCUCACAAACCCAUGGUGACCCACUUCAUCCCAAUUCCACACAAACAAAGCAUAGCAUUAUCACAACACAAUUAAUCAAACAUUGCAAUUAAAUGCAGACAUAUUGAUCAGUUGAACAUCGUAAUGCAAUGCACAAUUAGACAUCCAUUCUCAAAUGCAAAUAACUAAAUAAAUAAAAAUUAACAAUAAACAACAAUGAUGAAAUAAAUAAAUAAUUGAAUAAUUAAAUGAAUAAUCAUGAUAAUAACAUAAUUAGAGCACUUUAU